GAUGAAGAACGCAGCGAAAUGCGAUACGUAAUGUGAAUUGCAGAAUUCAGUGAAUCAUCGAAUCUUUGAACGCAUAUUGCGCUCUCUGGUAUUCCGGAGAGCAUGCUUGUUUGAGUAUCAGUAAACACCUCAACUCCCUUUCUUCUUGAAAUGGAGCUGGACUUGAGUGAUCCCAACGCUUUAUUCAUGAAGUGGCGGGUUACUUGAAAUGCAGGUGCAGCUGGACUUUUCUCUGAGCUAUAAGCAUAUCUAUUUAGUCUGCCUCAAAACAGAUUAUUACCUUUGCUGCAGCUAACAUAAAGGAGAUUAGUUCUUGUGCUGACUGAUGCAGGAUUCACAAAGACCGCUUCGGCUGUCUUUGUAAACUCGAUCUCAAAUCAAGUAAGACUACCCGCUGAACUUAAGCAUAUCAAUAAGCGGAGGA
rnacentral:misc_RNA from 1 species